rnacentral:rRNA from 1 species
CCUACGGGGGGCAGCAGUGAGGAAUAUUGGUCAAUGGCCGAGAGGCUGAACCAGCCAAGUCGCGUGAGGGAUGACGGCCCUACGGGUUGUAAACCUCUUUUGUCGGGGAGCAAAGGGAACCACGUGUGGCUCAUUGAGAGUACCCGAAGAAAAAGCAUCGGCUAACUCCGUGCCAGCAGCCGCGGUAAUACGGAGGAUGCGAGCGUUAUCCGGAUUUAUUGGGUUUAAAGGGUGCGCAGGCGGAGGUGCAAGUCAGCGGUCAAAUGGUGGGGCUCAACCCCGUACUGCCGUUGAAACUGGAGCCCUUGAGUGCGCGAGAAGUAUGCGGAAUGCGUGGUGUAGCGGUGAAAUGCAUAGAUAUCACGCAGAACUCCGAUUGCGAAGGCAGCAUACCGGCGCGCAACUGACGCUCAUGCACGAAAGCGUGGGUAUCGAACAGGAUUAGAUACCCUUGUAGUC